rnacentral:rRNA from 1 species
GUCGAGCGGACAGAUGGGAGCUUGCUCCCUGAAGUCAGCGGCGGACGGGUGAGUAACACGUGGGCAACCUGCCUGUAAGACUGGGAUAACUCCGGGAAACCGGGGCUAAUACCGGAUAAUUCUUUCCCUCACAUGAGGGAAAGCUGAAAGAUGGUUUCGGCUAUCACUUACAGAUGGGCCCGCGGCGCAUUAGCUAGUUGGUGAGGUAACGGCUCACCAAGGCAACGAUGCGUAGCCGACCUGAGAGGGUGAUCGGCCACACUGGGACUGAGACACGGCCCAGACUCCUACGGGAGGCAGCAGUAGGGAAUCUUCCGCAAUGGACGAAAGUCUGACGGAGCAACGCCGCGUGAGUGAUGAAGGUUUUCGGAUCGUAAAACUCUGUUGUUAGGGAAGAACAAGUACCGGAGUAACUGCCGGUACCUUGACGGUACCUAACCAGAAAGCCACGGCUAACUACGUGCCAGCAGCCGCGGUAAUACGUAGGUGGCAAGCGUUGUCCGGAAUUAUUGGGCGUAAAGCGCGCGCAGGCGGUUCCUUAAGUCUGAUGUGAAAGCCCCCGGCUCAACCGGGGAGGGUCAUUGGAAACUGGGGAACUUGAGUGCAGAAGAGAAGAGUGGAAUUCCACGUGUAGCGGUGAAAUGCGUAGAGAUGUGGAGGAACACCAGUGGCGAAGGCGACUCUUUGGUCUGUAACUGACGCUGAGGCGCGAAAGCGUGGGGAGCAAACAGGAUUAGAUACCCUGGUAGUCCACGCCGUAAACGAUGAGUGCUAAGUGUUAGA